UUAUCUCAAAAGGGGUGCCUUAAUAUAACGGGCUGAGAUUAUACCCAUCGAACCUGAUACAGGUAAUGCUGUCGAAGGGAGAGAGAAUAGUUUUUCUG
rnacentral:ncRNA from 1 species